rnacentral:rRNA from 1 species
AUUGAACGCUGGCGGCAUGCCUUACACAUGCAAGUCGAACGGCAGCACGGGAGCAAUCCUGGUGGCGAGUGGCGAACGGGUGAGUAAUAUAUCGGAACGUGCCCAGUCGUGGGGGAUAACGUGGCGAAAGCUACGCUAAUACCGCAUACGAUCUAUGGAUGAAAGCGGGGGAUCGCAAGACCUCGCGCGAUGGGAGCGGCCGAUAUCAGAUUAGGUAGUUGGUGAGGUAAAGGCUCACCAAGCCGACGAUCUGUAGCUGGUCUGAGAGGACGACCAGCCACACUGGGACUGAGACACGGCCCAGACUCCUACGGGAGGCAGCAGUGAGGAAUUUUGGACAAUGGGCGCAAGCCUGAUCCAGCAAUGCCGCGUGCAGGAUGAAGGCCUUCGGGUUGUAAACUGCUUUUGUACGGAACGAAACGGCGAGCUCUAAUACAGUUUGCUAAUGACGGUACCGUAAGAAUAAGCACCGGCUAACUACGUGCCAGCAGCCGCGGUAA